GGAUGUUGUCCAGGUCCUGUUGCUUGCGGAACUCCAUGUGCUGUGGAGACACGGCUGGACUUGCAGACUGCCUGCCCCAGAAGUCACAGGCCACGCCCCUCUGCCCACGGACACCAGGAUCCUACCAGAGCCACCCCAGGUCAAAGUUCCGGGCUGCAAGAAGAAGGCGUGGGAGUGAACCAGUGACCCCUGAAGUAGAAGCUCUAAGUCUAACCAUUGGACCACCAGGGAAUUCCCUAGGUUUUCUGAUGUUGAACUCUUCUUGCAUACCCAAGAUAAACUCUCCUUGAUACUGUUGCAUGAUUUUAAUACCUUCUUGGAUUCUGUUAUGUAAUAUUUUAUUUAGACUUCUUGAAAAGCAGAGAUAUUACUUUGCCAAUAAAGGUCCGUCUAGUCAAGGCUAUGGUUUUUCCUGUGGUCAUGUAUGGA